UAAGGAAUAUUGGUCAAUGGACGAAAGUCUGAACCAGCCAUGCCGCGUGAAGGAUGAAGGCCCUCUGGGUUGUAAACUUCUUUUAUCUGGGACGAAAAAAGGGAAUUCUUUCCCACUUGACGGUACCAGAGGAAUAAGCACCGGCUAACUCCGUGCCAGCAGCCGCGGUAAUACGGAGGGUGCAAGCGUUAUCCGGAUUCACUGGGUUUAAAGGGUGCGUAGGUGGGCUGAUAAGUCAGUGGUGAAAUCUCGGAGCUUAACUCUGAAACUGCCAUUGAUACUGUUGGUCUUGAAUAUCCUGGAGGUAUGCGGAAUAUGUCAUGUAGCGGUGAAAUGCUUAGAUAUGACAUAGAACAUCUAUUGCGAAGGCAGCAUACUACGAGAUUAUUGACACUGAGGC
rnacentral:rRNA from 1 species